AUAUCCGAAAUCAUGACAAAUUACAUUAAAGGUGAACUGUCGAUUUUAUAACGAAAAUUGCAUUUUUAUAAAUAUGUAUAUUCUAAAACAAGUGGAAUCAUCAAGAGCUAUGGCAAAAAAUAUUGCGAUACUAAAAAACGAUGUUUUUGUUUUCCGUAAACCGCCCGGGUAUUUCCGCCACCUAUUUUGGUUGUGACGUCACCGGCACUCAACGCGCAUGACUCGGAUACACGUCCAUUGUUAUUACGAAUCGAAGCGUGAACACUUCGCGCUAAAUGUCAAAUUUGACACUCAAUAGAUCUAUCACGUUAGCAAAAUACAAUUCUUUUACACAAGUUUUAUUGAAAUCGUGUGCUUUCUCUGUAUUUUUUGCAUGACAAUCGUUAUUCGAUAUGGUUCAGUGUGUUGCUUUCGGGUGCAAAGAACGUGAGGAAAAUGGAAAGAAUGUUUUUUUCCGUUUUGCGAAGGAUGAUGUUACUUGUAAGAAAUGGAUAAAGGCUGUCAAUUCCAGGAGAGUAAUCGAUGGGAGACUGGUUGAUUUCAAACCGAGUAAGGCAUCUAGAUUGUGCUUGAAACAUUUUGACGACAGUUGUUUUUUUUCAUCCUCCAAGUGUUAUGGCUAGUGUUGGAAUGGAGUUAAAGGGGCCUUUUCACAGAUUUUGGCAUUUUUUAACUUAUUCAUUAAAUGCUUUAUAUCGAUAAAUGUAAACAUUGGAUCGUAAAAGCUCCAGUAUAAAAUCAAGAAUAAAAUUUAAAAAAGGAAAAGAACAUUGCCCGGACCAGGUUUCGAACCAGUGACCCCUAGAGUCCUGCCGGAGUCCUGAAGUAAAAACACUUCAGCCUACUGAGCUAUUCCGCCAAGUACACAUGCAUGACGUAUUUUAUACCUUAUAUAAGCAAUCUUCGUAGUUUCACAAAAUUUAACGACAAAAACAGAACUCUCCAAAUUAUUCAAUCGUUUCGCGUUGCAACGCUUUAUAAUUUUUAGGUUUUAAAAUCGUCAAAAGAUGCAUAUAAUGGCUAUAUUAGACCAUGGUAAAUGUUCAGUAUUACUGUUUCCUCACAAAUAUCAUAACUAAAACGAAAAUUUGCGAAUCUGAAACAACUUUUUUCAAUUUUGUCAAUUUACCAAAGCGUGAAAAGAUCCCUUUAAAGCUCAAGCUCAAAGCUGGUGCAAUUCCAACGAUAUUUCCGGAAACAGAGGCAUACAAAGCUUCAAAGAAAGCUCCUCUAAAUCCCAACGACCUUGGACCAGGGAAGCACAACCGAGCGAAGUAUGGCGCCUAUUCUGAAAGGAACCGGACCCAUAUUCAUCAUGUGUGGAAGAGCCAGAUGUCUGUGAAGAAAUGUCUUGUGAACAGUCGCCUGUUCGGAUCAGUGAUCCUGAAUCACAUUUUGAUAAUGUGUAUUCGCAGUCAUCACAGACAUCUGAGACGGUUGUAUUUCGACCAACAGAACAUAAGGGAUUCACUGUCAAACCACAGGGAAAGAACUCUCCUAUCCUAAGUACAAGGCUGGACACCAUGUGGUUAAAGCAGUUAAAGAGAAUUGCACUUAUGACUAUGUUGAUGAACUAAUGGCAGAGCUGCUUAGGAUGAAAGAGGAGUACAAGAGCGAUGCCAAUGCAAGGGCUGCCUCUGGCAACAUUCUGUUUUCACCGCCACCCGUCUUCAUCUGCAAACAG